rnacentral:rRNA from 1 species
AUUGAACGCUGGCGGCAGGCCUAACACAUGCAAGUCGAACGAGUGGCGGACGGGUGAGUAAUGUCUGGGAAACUGCCCGAUUGAGGGGGAUAACUCCUGGAAACGGUAGCUAAUACCGCAUACCAUCUGAUGUUCCCAGAUGGGAUUAGCUAGUAGGUGGGGUAACGGCUCACCUAGGCGACGAUCCCUAGCUGGUCUGAGAGGAUGACCAGCCACACUGGAACUGAGACACGGUCCAUACUCCUACGGGAGGCAGCAGUGGGGAAUAUUGCACAAUGGGCGCAAGCCUGAUACAGCCAUGCCGCGUGUAUGAAGAAGGCCUUCGGGUUGUAAAGUACUUUCAGCGAGGAGGCGUUACUCGCAGAAGAAGCACCGGCUAACUCCGUGCCAGCCGCCGCGGUAAUAC